UGUUGUUGUUUCUUCUAAAACUAAAAAGUGUUUUAAAGUACCAUCCAACAGACAGAAAGACUAGGACUCAACGCUUAAGAUCAAUUAUUGUUGAUAUUUCUAUUUGCCCAUAAAGUAACAUAAUAAGCUCAACUACACUGAAAUCAUACGAGAGAUUAUAAGCUUUUCAUCGCAAACGACGAGCUUUGUGAUCAUCUGAAAAAAAAUAUAUAUUGUAAACUUACUAUAAACCAAUUUUUAUUCACGGCGACUUGAUUUCGCGCUUUACCAUUAUAAACUAUUUUGUUGCAAUUCAUUUCACCCUCCAGUAUUCAUAUGCAAGAAACAGCAAAAAGACUGGUUUGUUCGCAGAAUUAUGUGUGAUGACAAGAUUAGUUGGUUUACAAACAAAACUAAAAUUGUAUUGAACAAAAUGACUUUAAAGGUCACCAUCAAUCAAGUUGUGUACUUAAAAUCAUAUUAAUACAUGUAUUUAAUAAUAACAGUAAAUGUGAAGGUUUUAAUGGCAAUACAUCAUGUAUAACACUUAAUUAUAAUUUUAUAAUGAUU
rnacentral:misc_RNA from 1 species